AUAACCUACGGGGGGCAGCAGUGGGGAAUAUUGCACAAUGGGGGAAACCCUGAUGCAGCGACGCUGCGUGAAGGAAGAAGUAUUUCGGUAUGUAAACUUCUAUCAGCAGGGAAGAAAAUGACGGUACCUGACUAAGAAGCCCCGGCUAACUACGUGCCAGCAGCCGCGGUAAUACGUAGGGGGCAAGCGUUAUCCGGAUUUACUGGGUGUAAAGGGAGCGAAGGCGGUAAU
rnacentral:rRNA from 1 species